GGGCUCACUUCAGCAGUACAUAUACUAAAGUUGGAAUGAUACAGAAAAGAUUAGCACAGCCCCUGCACAAGGAUGACACGAAAAAUUAGGGGAAAAAAAUAAAAGUGA